GAUGAACGCUGGCGGCGUGCCUAAUACAUGCAAGUCGAGCGAACAGACGAGGAGCUUGCUCCUCUGACGUUAGCGGCUGACGGGUGAGUAACACGUGGAUAACCUACCUAUAAUACUUGGAUAACUUCGGGAAACCGUAGCUAAUACCGGAUAAUAUAUUGAACCGCAUGGUUCAAUAGUUAAAGACGGUUUUGCUGUCACUUAUAGAUUGAUCCGCGCCGCAUUAGCUAGUUGGUAAGGUAACGGCUUACCAAGGCAACGAUGCGUAGCCGACCUGAGAGGGUGAUCGGCAACACUGGAACUGAGACACGGUCCAGACUCCUACGGGAGGCAGCAGUAGGGAAUAUUCCGCAAUGGGCGAAAGCAUGACGGAGCAACGCCGCGUGAGUGAUGAAGGUCUUCGGAUCGUAAAACUCUGUUAUUAGGGAAGAAAAAAUGUGUAAGUAACUAUGCACGUAUUGACGGUACCUAAACAGAAAGCCACGGCUAACUACGUG
rnacentral:rRNA from 1 species